rnacentral:rRNA from 1 species
AUACGGAGGGUGCAAGCGUUGUCCGGAUUUAUUGGGUUUAAAGGGUGCGUAGGUGGCCCAUUAAGUCAGUGGUGAAAUUCUACAGCUUAACUGUAGAACUGCCAUUGAAACUGGUGGGCUUGAGUAUCGUUGAGGCAGGCGGAAUUUAUGGUGUAGCGGUGAAAUGCAUAGAUACCAUAAAGAACACCGAUAGCGAAGGCAGCUUGCUUAGCGAUAACUGACACUAAUGCACGAAAGCGUGGGUAGCGAACAGGAUUAGAUACCCGGGUAGUCC